AUUGGCUCGUUUCAAUCCUCGCGGGCUACUUGAACUGAGAGAAAGCAGCCUCCUGAUCUCUGCGUGUUUCUGGGUAAAUGGACCGAGGCUAGCUGGCUCCGCUUGCAGCGCGCGCACGAGCUGUAGAGACUCGGUCAAGCAAACGGUUGUGUUUUUGAGGGGAAACAUGACCGGCAGAGGACAGGGAAGCGCGGCCAGCGACAUCCACAACCAGGAAAAUAUGCUGUCAAGACUGCGAGGCUCGCUAAAACCCAGAGCUGCUUCUGCAAACGA